rnacentral:rRNA from 1 species
ACCAUCCUCCAAGCCUAAAUACUACCUAAUGACCGAUAGCGAAUAGUACUGUGAAGGAACGGUGAAAAGAACCCCGGGAGGGGAGUGAAAAAGAACCUGAAACCCUAUGCUUACAAGCACCGAGAGCACGUCAAAGUGUGAUCGGGUACCUUUUGUAGAAUGGUCCGGCGAGUUAUUGUAUGCGGCAAGGUUAAGUGCUUAAGGCACGGAGCCGAAGCGAGAGCAAGUCUGAAUAGGGCGAAUAAGUCGUAUGCAAUAGACCCGAAACCGAGUGACCUAUCCAUGUCCAGGCUGAAGUGGAGGUAAAACUCCAUGGAGGGCCGAACACACGUCCGUUGAAAAGGCCGGUGAUGAGGUGUGGAUAGCGGAGAAAUUCCAAUCGAACUCGGAUAUAGCUGGUUCUCUCCGAAAUAGCUUUAGGGCUAGCCUCGUGAAAGAUUACUGGAGGUAAAGCACUGAAUGGGCUAGGGGUCGAAAGAUUACUGAACCCUAUCAAACUAAGAAUGCCAGAUAAUUGAUUCACGGGAGUCAGACAAUGUGAGAUAAGUCUCAUUGUCAAAAGGGAAACAGCCCAGACCCACAGCUAAGGUCCCUAAACAUUGUUAAGUGGAAAAGGAUGUGGGGUUGCAUAAACAACCAGGAUGUUGGCUUAGAAGCAGCCACUCAUUAAAAGAGUGCGUAAUAGCUCACUGGUCGAGUGACCCUGCGCCGAAAAUUCAACGGGGCUAAACAAUGUACCGAAGCUUGGGAUUCUAAAGUAAUUUAGAGUGGUAGGAGAGCGUCGAAUAAGGGGUGAAGUCAGAGCGGAAGCGCUGGUGGACUUUAUUCGAGUGAGAAUGCCGGAAUGAGUAGCGAGAAUUAUGUGAGAAUCAUAAUGGCCGAAAAUCUAAGGUUUCCUGAGGAAGGUUCGUCCGCUCAGGGUAAGCCGGGAGCUAAGGCGAGGCGGAGACGCGUAGCCGAUGCACAUACGGUUGAAAUUCCGUAGCCACCGAAAGAUUUAAGUACAGGGACGCUUUAGAAGUGAUGUUGCCGGGCGAUGGUUGACCCGGUCGUAAGGGAUCGAAAAUGAGUAGAGAAGUCAUCAUGGAAAGAGACAAGAAAAGCUGUAUGAAUAUCUUAGGUGCCCGUACCGCAAACCGACACAGGUAGAUAGGAAGAAGAUUCUAAGGCCAACGGGAGAAGGGUUGUUAAGGAACUCGGCAAGUUGACCCCGUAACUUAGGGAUAAGGGGUGCUCAAGUGAUUGAGCCGCAGAGAAUAGGCCCAGGCGACUGUUUAGCAAAAACACAGGUCUCUGCUAAAUCGAAAGAUGACGUAUAGGGGCUGACACCUGCCCGGUGCCGGAAGGUUAAGAGGAGAUGUGAGAGCAUUGAAUUGAAGCCCCGGUAAACGGCGGCCGUAACUAUAACGGUCCUAAGGUAGCGAAAUUCCUUGUCGGGU